rnacentral:rRNA from 1 species
AGAGGKGGCAAGCGUUGUCCGGAAUUACUGGGCGUACAGCGCGCGCAGGCGGACCGCCACGUGCCGUGUGACAAGCCACUGCUCAACAGUGGAGGGCCAGGGUACACGAGCGGUCUGGAGGCAGGGAGAGGGAUGUGGAAUGCCCGGUGGAGCGGUGAAAUGCGUAGAGAUCGGGCGGAACACCAGCGGCGAAGGCGGCAUCCUGGUCCUGUUCUGACGCUGAGGCGCGAGAGCGUGGGGAGCGAACUGGAUUAGAUACCCAGGUAGUCCACGCCGUAAACGACGUGUACCCGGCGCUGGGGAGUGAUUGCGCUCCUCGGUGCCUCAGCUUACGCAGUGAGUACACCGCCUGGGGACUACGGCCGCAAGGCUA